GAUGUGCACUUAGCCAUCAUAUAUCUUAAAUUUUUAAUUGUAUGAUAAGUAAUAUUCAAUAAAAUACAAUAAUAUAUAAUAAUUAUAGUAAUAACAUAUUUAUAAUAAUUAUAAUAAUUGAUAGCUUUAAAUAUAAGAUAAAACUCACACAUAUGUACAUAUACACACGCACACACUCUUAUAUGUAAAAGAAUUAGAUAUAUAAGGGGACUAGUAGUCGCUAAGAUUGGGGAGUCUUUAUCGUCUUAUUGUGCGGAUGGUCAAAAGCGAGUGUAAGAGACUACGCAGAUCGUUCAUACAAUAAGACAUAAUAAUAAGUUUGUAAUUGAUUAAAAUAUAUAUAUUAAAAAGUGUUAAAAAUAAGUUAAAUAAAAUUACAAUUGUGAUUCAAAGAAAAAAGGUCUAAUUAUUUCAAAAUAUAAAUCGAUCACCUCAUAUUACAUCUUGAACGCGAACCACGAUUUCAACAAGCAAGUCGACACAGGAAGCAGAGAGCCAUUGUAUUUUAUAUUAUACAUUUAUAAGAUUGUAAGACAAGCAUACUAUAGCUAGUUAACUUUCAACAUAUUCAUAAUGAACUUCACACCUCUCCUCAUCGUCUUACAAUUACACAUGGUACAUGGAUUUAUUGCAUAUGACUGUAAUGGACCCAAGCUCAACAUAACAGCAUUUAAUAGCUUGUCUGUGGAGCCAUGUGAACCACCAUCAGAAAUCCACACCCAAUCAAUUCAACGAAUUCAACUUCUACAAAAAACAGAUACCUACCAAAUACCUUAUAAAACAUGCUCAAUAAUAAUAAACUAUUUUAUAAGUAGGUGUUCAAUUCUAGAAGAUGCCCAAAUGGUAGAAAAUGGUUUUUUUACAGAAAUAACUGAAUUAGGCAGUGCCCGGUGCUCUGAAUUACACCAGAGACUAACAUACCAUCUACCAAACGGAGGAAUAAUUACAGGUUUAAAAGUUAACGAGACAAAGUCAAUAAAUCAAUCACAAACUCAAAGCAAAAAAGUUUAUACCCAAAUAUCAGAAAAUUAUCUAUAUGAAUACAUAUUAAAAUAUUUCAAAAUCCAAUUUAACAGUCAUAUGCAAUAUAAUUUCAAAAAAAAAAAAAAAAAAAAAAAAAA